CACAGCUAAAUCCUGAACUCAAAGCUUCACUGCGCACCGCCCGCCGGCAGAGGGCGCCCGAACUCGCCUUUUCUGACCUUCCUUUUCAAAACCUCAGCCUUCGGCUCCGCCUGCUAGGUUUUCGUUUUCAGUUGGUCCCUCUCCUCGAGGGAGACGGCGCUUUGGGGACCGCCUUGGUGCAGUUUAAACGGUGCGUAAAGAUGUUUCCUUUUCUUUGCCCGAUUGCUGAGGAGGGACCCUUGCCGCGACUUCGCCUGAGACAGUUUUGUUCGCUAGCGAGCACAGACCCUUUCAUCUUCUGAACUUUCUCCAUGUUCGUGUGCUUUAUCCUCUCAUAAAAUUCAGGAUUAUUUCUGGAGAGAAAUCUCGCGACAAAUUCAGAGAGAGUGGAAACGAAUAUACGAAAUACUGGGAUUUCCAGGCGCCUGCGUUGGGGACAUGUAGUCCUGGGCCAAGACUGCAACUGCAGGUGCUGGAUGCAGGGAUGAUCCCUAAGCAAGAAACUGUAACUACACCUUUAACUUUUAUGUUAGAAUUCCUAAGGGCCUGCUGGGAUGGAUUGUGCCUUCAUCCCAUAUGGCACAAUUGGGGUUGACAGUGAAUGUAGCUGUAUUGCUUAGUGGACAAGAUAGCCCACUAGUUCUGUACCUGUGUUACCCUUCCUUAUAUGAAUGGGAGUAGACUGAGGGGAAGGCACUUGCUAGAUUAGUAUUUCUGCUGGCAAGCUGGACCAGCACAGUUGCUAAACUAAUGUCCCUUCCAAAGGCAGAAAAGUUUAAGUAAAAAGCAAUGACAAAUGAAGAGGAGAAAUAGUUGUUUAGAGUAAAGGAAUGAAUAAAUGGGUUAAACAAUAUUGUACUGGUACUUCGAGACUCAGAGCAAGAGAAGAUAUUGUCUCUUAGCUCAAUAUACCAGAUGUCCGAAAGGGUGAAGCCAUGUUUGCCAAGCCCACUUCUGCUUUUGGAACUUGAAGUGGUUGAAUUGAAGCCUGCAAACUUGAAUGUCAUUGCUCUGGGAGACAUUUUGGUCAUACACUAUGAUGAGGAAAUGGUCCAGUUGUUGAUGACUGAAUGGGACUCUAGUAAUGUGUGAGUAUCUUUUGAUUCUUAUGUUUCAGGUUGCAUCUACUAUCAUACUCCAAUAGGGUGUAACACUGGCACUGUUGGUGAGAUUCAACUACCUUAUGUAAAAAAGUCUUAUGUCAGGGGACUGGUGGUUUGAUGAGUUGAGCCUUCUACCACAGGACUUGCCCUUGGGAAGACUGUUGCUGCAAAGAAGAGGCUAGGCCUCCCUAUAAUUGUGCCUAAGAGCCUCCUCCCGAAUG